GAUCAUGGCUCAGGACAAACGCUGGCGGCGUGCCUAACACAUGCAAGUCGAACGAGAAUCUCCGGAAAGAGGCUUCGGCCAAUGGAAGGGGAGGACAGUGGCGGACGGGUGAGUAAUGCAUGAGCAACCUGCCUCGGAGUGGGGGACAACAGUUGGAAACGACUGCUAAUACCGCAUGAUGUUACCGGAGGGCAUUCCUUUGGUAAACCAAAGAUUUAUCGCUCUGAGAUGGG
rnacentral:rRNA from 1 species